GUCACAACAACUGCCUUGAAAUGUAGAAGGGAAUGUUCUGGAGGAUGUCCAGUCUGGGGGGCUGCGUGUCCUUCUGUGGCUACAGUGGGAGGUGGUGACAGAGCUGGACAAGAGUCACCACUGUCGUACCAGUUGAUAAAGUGGCAGCCUGUGGUGGGGAGAGAGGGCUGAGGACAACAACAUCUGCCCCAGCCUCUCAGGAAACGCCGGUGCCACUAGGCACAGAAGCAUCCACUCCUGCUCCCUUAUCCUGGUCUGUGAGGUUCCUGUCUUUCUCUGGCCAAUUCCACCACCAUCCACCCCGCCCUUUGAGGAAGCAGACACCCCACUGUGGACACCUGGUCCUCUGCCCUCUGUAACUGUGUGCGUGAACAUCUUUGUGCUGGGUCUGUGUCGUGGGAAUGACUGACCCUAAGGAAUCAGAUAACCUUCAGACCUCCAGGAGGAUCCUGAAAACCAAAACCAUCUUGAAGAACAAAAUUCACAGUGCAAUAUCGAAGAAGGCACAAGCAGAUAACUUUGAGAUACUGACCCCAGGUUCCAGCUACUGGACAUCUAAGCGAGAAGGCCAGGUGCAGCUGCGCAUGGGCAAGGACCCACUAGAUAACGAGCCUCCGGUCACAGUUCCCGACUUGAUCAUGAGCGCGGCCACUAAGUACUCACACUACCUGGCGAUCGGUUCCAAGUACAAGAAAAGCUGGCAACUGCUCACCUACAUCGAGUACUACGAGGCCUGCCGGCGUGCUGCCAAGGCCUUCCUCAAGGUGGGUCUGGAACGCUUUCAUGGUGUGGGUAUCAUGGGCAUCAAUUCCUCGGAGUGGGUGAUUGCCAGCAUUGGAGCUAUCAUGGCAGGUGGCAUCUCUGUGGGCAUCUUGAGCAGCAUCUCCCCCAAAGCCUGCCAAGUCAUCGCUGAGACCUCAGAAAUGGAUAUCUUUGUGGUGGAUAAUGACAGACAGCUGCAAAAGAUUAACCAGAUCCAGGGCUACUUGAAGCAUCUCAAGGCCAUCAUACAGUACAGAGAAGAUAUCCAGGAAGCGCAGCCAAAUCUAUACUCGUGGAAAGGCUUCCUGGACCUCGCGGAUGGCAUCUCGGAUGAAAAACUGGACAAAAUCAUCGACACACUGAAGCCCAAUCAGUGCUGUGCUUUGGUAUAUAACCAGGGUACCACAGGGCCCUCGAAGGCCAUAAUGCUGAGCCAUGACAACAUCACAUGGACCACAGCAGCCAUCGUUCAAAGCCUUGGGUUCAAGUGUCCACCUCAGGGUCAGGAGAUCCUCGUGAGCUACCUGCCACUUUGCUUCCCUGGAAUACAGAUCUUGGACGUUUGGGUGGCCAUUUCCGUGGCUGGGACAGUCUAUUUCCCCUCGCUAGACUCAGGGAAGUGGAGUGGGCUGCCACGAACCCCUGGCACGCGCCCCAUCCCGUCCCAUUCAGGGCUUCCUGAUGGAGCUGCUCCGCGAGGUCCAGCCCACCACGUUCUGCGGCAUUCCGUGGGUGUGGGACCGCAUGCUGGACAGUCUGAAGACCAAAUUCCUGGACUCCACCGCCUUCCGCAGGAGGAUCGACCAUUGGGCCAUGCGCAUGGGCCUCCACACCAACAAGAAGCUGAUGAUGGGGGAGAUCCACCAGCCGCUGUGCUUCGGCCUGGCCAAGAGAUUGACCUUCGAGCGCGCCAGGAAGUUCCUGGGUCUCAACCAUUGCCAGCAGUUUCUAAACAUGGGCAUGGGGCUGCCGAGUGGCACGCUGGAUUUCUUCCUCAGCGUAAACAUCCCUAUCAUGGAGUUGUACGGCUUGUCGGAGUGCACGGGACUACACACAGUGUCCAACCUGCAGGCUUACCGGAUACUGAGCGCUGGGAAAGCGCUUCCCAAAACCCACACAAAGGUGGAAAAAGAAAACAAGGAUGGGAUCGGGAACUUGUGUAUCUGGGGCCGCCACAUAUUCAUGGGGUACCUCAGAGACAAGCAGAGCACAGAGAGGAAGGUGGACACCCACGGCUGGCUACACACGAACGACUUGGGCUUCUUGGAUUUUGACAAGUUCCUCUAUGUCAUGGGGAACAAUAACGAUUUGAUCAAGCUGAGCUCGGGGGAAAUGGUCAACCCGUAUCCCAUCGAGGAGCGGGUAAGGACGCGAAUCCCCAUCGUCCGCUAUGCCAUGCUGGUGGGCCAGGACGCCCCGUACCUGUGCGCCCUCCUCACAUUGAAGUGUCAGAUAAAUCCAGAGACUGGAGAGGCUCGGAGUAACCUGACCAGUGAGGUCGUCGCUUGCUGUCGGAAGCUUCGAAGCCAGUCGACCUGGUUGUCAGACGUCCUAUAUGACCGUGACCCUUUGGUCACGGAGUUCAUUAACCAGGGCAUCGAGGAUGUGAAUUCGGAGGCGCCCACAAUGGGUGCCAAGAUCAUUAAGUGGGUCAUUCUAGACAACGAUUUCUCUGUGGAUGGUGGGGAGCUUGGACCCAUGAGCAAGAUGAACAGGUCCAUUGUGGUCAAGAUAUACCAAGAGGAAAUCCAGAAACUCUAUGAGACUUCGACCUCCUAGGAACCCCAUUCACCCUAAUCUUCGUUCAAGCGCCGGCACUUCAUCCCCUUCAUCCUGUUUAUCGGGGGACAAUUUCUACAGUGGAGGGGGGACUCCCUGAGAGGGUCCUGGGUGGAAAGGCAUAUCCCGCUCUCUAGAGUUGGUAUUUGAAUUGUAAAGAAAUUAAAUGUGUUCCCUAAAGUGA